rnacentral:rRNA from 1 species
GUGCAGCCGCCGCUUUAAUACCGGCAGCCCGAGUGAUGGCCGAUAUUAUUGGGCCUAAAGCGUCCGUAGCUGGCCGAACAAGUCCGUCGGGAAAUCCACGUGCUUAACACGUGGGCGACCGGCGGAAACUGUUCGGCUUGGGGCCGGAGGACCCGAGGGGUACGUCCGGGGUAGGAGUGAAAUCCUGUAAUCCUGGACGGACCGCCGGUGGCGAGAGCGCCUCGGGAAGACGGACCCGACAGUGAGGGACGAAAGCUGGGAUCUCGAACCGGAUUAGAUACCCCAGUAGUCC